rnacentral:rRNA from 1 species
CCUACGGGUGGCUGCAGUCGAGAAUCAUUCACAAUGGGGGAAACCCUGAUGGUGCGACGCCGCGUGGGGGAAUGAAGGUCUUCGGAUUGUAAACCUCUGUCAUGUGGGAGCAAAUUAAAAAGAUAGUACCACAAGAGGAAGAGACGGCUAACUCUGUGCGAGCAGCCGCGGUAAUACAGAGGUCUCAAGCGUUGUUCGGAAUCACUGGGCGUAAAGCGUGCGUAGACUGUUUCGUAAGUCGUGUGUGAAAGGUGCGGGCUCAACCGGCGGACGGCACAUGAUACUGGGAGACUUGAGUAAAGGAGAGGGAAGCGGAAUUCGCGGUGUAGCAGUGAAAUGCGUAGAUAUCGAGAGGAACACUCGUGGCGAAGGCAGGUUCCUAGACAUUGACUGACACUGAGGCACGAAGGUCAGGGUAGCGAAAGGGAUUAGAUACCCUAGUAGUC